rnacentral:rRNA from 1 species
GACGUAGGGCGCGAGCGUUGUCCGGAUUUAUUGGGCGUAAAGAGCUCGUAGGCGGCUUGUUGCGUCAGCUGUGAAAACCCGCAGCUCAACUGUGGGCUUGCAGCUGAUACGGGCAGGCUUGAGUUCGGUAGGGGAGACUGGAAUUCCUGGUGUAGCGGUGAAAUGCGCAGAUAUCAGGAGGAACACCGGUGGCGAAGGCGGCUCACUGGCUCGUUUCUGACGCUCAGGCGCGACAGCGUGGGGAUCAAACAGG